rnacentral:rRNA from 1 species
UGGGGAAUCUUGGACAAUGGGGGCAACCCUGAUCCAGCCAUGCCGCGUGAGCGAUGAAGGCCUUAGGGUUGUAAAGCUCUUUCACCGGGGAAGAUAAUGACGGUACCCGGAGAAGAAGUCCCGGCUAACUCCGUGCCAGCAGCCGCGGUAAUACGGAGGGGGCUAGCGUUGUUCGGAAUUACUGGGCGUAAAGCGCACGUAGGCGGAUAUUUAAGUCAGGGGUGAAAUCCCGGGGCUCAACCCCGGAACUGCCUUUGAUACUGGAUGUCUGGAGGUCGAGAGAGGCGAGUGGAAUUCCGAGUGUAGAGGUGAAAUUCGUAGAUAUUCGGAGGAACACCAGUGGCGAAGGCGGCUCGCUGGCUCGAUACUGACGCUGAGGUGCGAAAGCGUGGGGAGCAA